GACGAACGCUGGCGGCGCGCCUAACACAUGCAAGUCGAACGGAGUCAAGAGGAGCUUGCUUUUCUUGACUUAGUGGCGAACGGGUGAGUAACGCGUGAGUAACCUGCCCUGGAGUGGGGGACAACAGUUGGAAACGACUGCUAAUACCGCAUAAGCCCACGGAUCUGCAUGGAUCUGCGGGAAAAGGAUUUAUUCGCUCUAGGAUGGACUCGCGUCCAAUUAGCUAGUUGGUGAGGUAACGGCCCACCAAGGCGACGAUUGGUAGCCGGACUGAGAGGUUGAACGGCCACAUUGGGACUGAGACACGGCCCAGACUCCUACGGGAGGCAGCAGUGGGGGAUAUUGCACAAUGGGGGAAACCCUGAUGCAGCGACGCCGCGUGGAGGAAGAAGGUUUUCGGAUUGUAAACUCCAGUCGUUAGGGACGAUAAUGACGGUACCUAACAAGAAAGCACCGGCUAACUACGUG
rnacentral:rRNA from 1 species